AUAAGAUCAGCUGCCUCCACGGAAUGGUUGAGAGGAACAGCCUUUAUCCUCACCAGCUAGGGACUUACUCAGAAAGAUCUAACCCUGGGUGGACCAUGCAGCCUGAAAGACCCAGAGGCAACUAUUGAUUCAUCCAUUUAUUCAUCACUUACUAGAUGUCUUAGCUUAUCUUGGACAGCAGAGAGAAAAGUAAUUCUCAAGAGAGUUGGGGCUACAGCUGGCAAAUGCCUGGUACAGUCACUGACGUUGCCUACUCCCCAUGCCUUAGCACAGACACCACUUGACCGGCUCACUGGGACAGGAGCCCCAGAUCCUUCUUGGUGCAGUGUUCUAUGCAGUCUCUGCCAAUCAAAGCUGACAUCUGAGAUGAAGCCCACUCCCUAUGCCUGUUCCAAGCUUUGGCUGUGAAUUCUUUAUCGUGACUUGUCUUCCAGGCAUCCUAUUAUAUUGUUGUGACUUCCACAGCACUUGGAGAUUCAGAGGACAAUUUGGUGUUGAUUCACAGAAUACCCUCUGGAUCAAUGGUGUUCAGUGUACGCUAAACUUGACUGACUCACUGGUAUCUGUUUGUCUCCUCUACCAACCAAGCUGGUUCUCUAGGCUCCGCAGGAGUUCUGGCUGAGACCUCUCAUUGCCCCAUAUUCUCGCUAUUACUAAUGAGGCGUUGUUCCUUAAUUACUGGUUGCUGGAUACCAGAAUUGCUUUCCUUUGUUUCCGUGGAUUUAGCAAAGGGCUCAUGAAUAUUUCUUGUGCUUGAGACAAACUGCCAGAUUUUUCAUUUCCAGGAUUGCAAAGGUCAUGGAGCUGGCUAUCGGGAAAUUAAAGUUAGCUGCGAAUUGGAGUGAAUGGGAAUCAACGUGAAGUGAGACUAAGAGAUGCCUAGAACAUAGAAUGAAAUUCACCUUCUUUGUUGAAGCUUUUCAGACCCUUUGAUCUUUCUCGGUAGCACAAUCUGAUGACAGGGCCCCAGAUGCCCUCAGCGGCUCUCCAACAAGACGUCACAGCCGCGAGAGAUCCCAAUCAGCCCAUUCUCUCCCUGCAGCACUGUGUCCUUUGGCUGCCGGGCCAGAAAGCCAAGCCUAUUUUUACCUAUCAUUUUGAUACUUAUCUUGGGGUGUAAUUGGAAUGAGCCCUCAGUGUGGAAACUCUUACUCAGAACACAAAGGAUCGAAGAGGGCUUGGAGUCUGAACUCUGGAAGGACUCUUGCCUGAGGCCUCUUGGCAGGGAUGGCUCUGGUUUCUUGGAGCACUGGUGAGGCCAGCAGGUGGGUGUUCCCUUCCGGAGUGACUUCCCGCUCUUUCAGGAGCUAUGCGCCAUGGUGAACACUGCCAUUGCCUGCCUUCUCUGCAUUAUUUGAUGAACACGUGGGCGAGCUGCUCUGUGGCUUAAUACCAACGGCAGAGUGGUCACCAUCUGUUGGUUCUUCUUGUCCCUCUGGGAACAGUGGCUUGCAUCUCACUGUAUGUCCCUUGAGAUAUCACCUGGGAUCCUUCAAACUGUUUGCUCUGCCUCUGAGUGAUGAUUUCCAGAUUCCAACCAGAUUCUGUGUCAACCGUCUGUGUGUGAAAUGUCCUAAUGUUGUCUCCCACACCAAUAACAUCAGCUGAAAAGUGUUUUGCAAGGACU
ensembl:lncRNA